AUGAAUGAUGUUACAUCUAAACCUAUUCCUACUGCUCCACUUGCACCUGUUCCUACUGCUUCUACUGCACAUGAUUAUGAUAUAAGUCUUUCUGCACCUGAUUACAUUUUGUCUACACCUGUUGAACAUGAGGUACUUGAAGUUUCUAUUUUUAGAAAUCUUGCAAUUCUGAUACCAUUAGAAAUUUCUAUUUCUACCAUACUUUACAUUCUAUAA